GUGCCAGCAGCCGCGGUAAUACGUAGGUGGCAAGCGUUGUCCGGAUUUAUUGGGCGUAAAGCGAGCGCAGGCGGUUUUUUAAGUCUGAUGUGAAAGCCUUCGGCUCAACCGAAGAAGUGCAUCGGAAACUGGGAAACUUGAGUGCAGAAGAGGACAGUGGAACUCCAUGUGUAGCGGUGAAAUGCGUAGAUAUAUGGAAGAACACCAGUGGCGAAGGCGGCUGUCUGGUCUGUAACUGACGCUGAGGCUCGAAAGUAUGGGUAGCAAACAGGAUUAGAUACCCUGGUAGUCCAUACCGUAAACGAUGAAUGCUAAGUGUUGGAGGGUUUCCGCCCUUCAGUGCUGCAGCUAACGCAUUAAGCAUUCCGCCUGGGGAGUACGGCCGCAAGGCUGAAACUCAAGGGAAUUGACGGGGGCCCGCACAAGCGGUGGAGCAUGUGGUUUAAUUCGAAGCUACGCGAAGAACCUUACCAGGUCUUGACAUACUAUGCAAAUCUAAGAGAUUAGACGUUCCCUUCGGGGACAUGGAUACAGGUGGUGCAUGGUUGUCGUCAGCUCGUGUCGUGAGAUGUUGGGUUAAGUCCCGCAACGAGCGCAACCCUUAUUAUCAGUUGCCAGCAUUAAGUUGGGCACUCUGGUGAGACUGCCGGUGACAAACCGGAGGAAGGUGGGGAUGACGUCAAAUCAUCAUGCCCCUUAUGACCUGGGCUACACACGUGCUACAAUGGAUGGUACAACGAGUUGCGAACUCGCGAGAGUAAGCUAAUCUCUUAAAGCCAUUCUCAGUUCGGAUUGUAGGCUGCAACUCGCCUACAUGAAGUCGGAAUCGCUAGUAAUCGCGGAUCAGCAUGCCGCGGUGAAUACGUUCCCGGGCCUUGUACACACCGCCCGU
rnacentral:rRNA from 1 species